rnacentral:lncRNA from 10 species
CUGCCAUCAUGUAAGAAGAGCCUUUCACCUCCCGCCGUGAUUCUGAGGCUUCCCCAGCCACGUGGAACUGUUCCACUUCCCACAACACCUCUGCCACCAACCAAUUGAGGGUCUUCAGGAGAAGUGUUCUUAUCUGUGCAAUAGAGCCUGCCAGAAGGGGCACCUGGCAACCCUCUUCAGAGGCUUGAUCCUGUGCUGCAGAAACCUAUGGACCUGCUCAACCUGUGCACUGGAAUUCCAGGGAUAGACUGAGCUGUCCCUAGGAGGCUGGGAGCAUUCUCCAGCAGAGACCAGCAACUGCCUCCUGCCUGGAGAAUCUGGAAGGAGGAAGGGCGGCUGGAAUCACCUGUGAUGGCAAGUGAGGGAGAGAGGGCAGACAAAGGUAGCAAAACUGCACUCCUAGGACUUGGAAUGGCAAGGACUCCAGUGUGUCAGAGAAGACAGGAAGACCAAGAAACAGCCAAGGAGAGGGGCUGAGGAAUGAGAGAUGGAGGAGACAACAGAUUGUCCUUCCCAUUGCCAAACCUUAGGCCGGGCCUGAGGGGAUCAGACUGGGCAAUUGAAUCCUCAAAGGUUCCUGGAAGGACUCAGACUUGUGUACACAUGGAGAAUAGCGUCUGGCGCCAAGAACGCAGAGCGGCUGAGAACUGGUGUUUCUCCUCUUAGGAAAGAAAAUGACAGGGAAAGGAAGAAAAAUAGGAAAGAAGAAAGGAAGAGAGAGAAGAAGGAAAAAAAGAGGGAGGGAGGGAAGGAAAGGGUAGGGAAGGAAGGAAAGAGGAAAAGAAGGAGGAAGAGGAAGAGAUGGAGAGAAGAAAGAAAGGAAGGAAAAGGGAGGGAAGAAAAGGAAAAGAGGGAGGAAGGGAGAAAUGGAAGAAGGGAAAGAAGGAAAAGAAGGAGGAAGAGGAAGAGAUGGAGAGAAGAAAGGAAGGAAGGAAAAGGGAGAGAAGAAAAAGAAAAGAGGGAGGAAGGGAGAAAAGGAAGAAGGGAAAGAAGGAAAAAAGGAAGAAGAGAGGAAUGGAAGGAAGAAGGGAAGGGAAAGAGGGAGACAGGUAAAGAGGGAGGGAGGGAAAUAAGGAAGAGGGAGAAAGAGGGAGAAAGGGGGGAGGAGCAAAGGACGGAAGAAGGAAGGAAAGAAGAAGGGAGGGAAGGGAAAAUAGAGGAAAUGAAGGACGGCACAGGGAAGGGGAAAAAGGACGAAGAGGAGGAAAAGAGGGAGGGAAGAAGGAAGAAGAAAAGGAAAGAGAAAAGAAGGAGGGAGGGAGGGAAGGAAGACAGGAAGGAAAACCAAACGUCGAGGUAGCACUGUGUGUUUGGAUUUCUUGCUUUACUGAAGUAUUACCUUCAUCAGAAGCAGAUGGACUGAAUCACGUCAAAGUCUACCUAGGCAGGAAGCAUUGUUUUAAUUUACCCAGGUCACGGCAAACAUAUUGUCAUUCAGCAUGUGAAACUGUUUGAACUUACAAGGAGUAACCCAGCAACAGCAAUUACCCCACGUGUCCGUUGUGCUCUGAUGAUACAAACGCAACUGGAAUGGAGUCUCAUAAUUUCACAAGGUGACAAAACAUUGAAUUCUGAUGUUUCACCUCCACCUGCGAAUGAGCAGGGAGGUGCUGAGAGGCCAGCUGAAUACACAAAUUCCUUGGGCCCAUGGGCACUGUACAGAGGCCGGCUGCACUGGGGCAAGCUUGCCCUCCUCUCAACCUCAGGCCGGCAGCCAAUGCAGAGCAGCCCCACCGCGGGCUUUUGUCUGCUGAGAGCACACCCCCUGCAUUUCUUAUCAGAUUUACUGUGACAAGGACCCGGAGAAAAGCAAGAUGCUGGUAAGAGCUCAUCAAUUCAGACCCCACUAUUCAGAAAUUUGGAUUUAUUUUUUUGUCACGGAGAACUAGAACUGAUGUGAAUCUUGGCACUAUCCUUGAAAAAAAAUCAUUCAUAAUAACACAACAAUAAUAUAUAACAUUUACUGAGUUCUGACUCUGAACGAGGUACUGUCUGGAGUGCUCUUCGUGGAUGUCUCAUUUAAUCUUCAAAGCAACACUGUGAGGAAGGUCCUAUUAUUCUCUCCAUUUUGCAGGCGAUUACUUUGAGGCACAGAGAGGUCAAGGCCUGCCCAAGGUCACACAGCUAAUGAAUGGGAGAGCCUGGAUUCAGAACCCCAGCAGUCUGAUUGAUGCCAGAGCCAUAUUCUCAAUCACACUUUAAAAGGCAACUCCCAGCUAGGUCAAGAAUUCAGAUUGUUUCUAUGGACCUGAAAAUCAUUUUAACAGUACCCAUUUCUGUUGUUAAAAAAAAAAAAAAAAAGACAAGACAGUGACCCAAUCGAUGAUUCUUAUCCAUUCAUUAAGUCAAAGUUGCUCCUUGACCAUCCUGUUAGCCCUUAUUUCAUGCAUGUGAAAUGAAUAAAACUUCAUUUUGUUCAAAAAGACCCUUGGAUUCAGACUUUCUAUGCUUUUAGGUGGGCUUUCUUAUUAUUAUUCAAAGUCACUGAGGUUUUUCUCAAAGACUUCGGAGACUAAACUAAUCACAGCUGCCUUUGAG